UACGGGGGGAGCAAGCGUUGUUCGGAAUCACUGGGCGUAAAGGGUGCGUAGGCCGCACGGUAAGUCAGAGGUGAAAUCCCGGAGCUCAACUUCGGAAUUGCCUCCGAUACUGCCGUGCUUGAGGACUGGAGAGGAGAUUGGAAUUCACAGUGGAGCAGUGAAAUGCGUAGAUAUUGUGAGGAACACUAGUGGCGAAGGCGAAUCUCUGGACAGUUCCUGACGCUGAGGCACGAAGGCCAGGGGAGCAAACGGG
rnacentral:rRNA from 1 species